rnacentral:rRNA from 1 species
GCAAGUCGAGCGGACCGACGGGAGCUUGCUCCCUUAGGUCAGCGGCGGACGGGUGAGUAACACGUGGGUAACCUGCCUGUAAGACUGGGAUAACUCCGGGAAACCGGGGCUAAUACCGGAUGCUUGAUUGAACCGCAUGGUUCAAUCCUAAAAGGGGGCUUUUAACUACCACUUUCCGAUGGACCCGCGGCGCAUUAACUAAUUGGUGAGGUAACGGCUCCCCCAGGGCACCAUGCCUAACCCAACUGAAAGGGUGAUCGGCCACCCUGGGACUGAAACCCGGCCCAAAAUCCUACCGGAAGCAACAGUAAGGAAUCUUCCGCAAUGGACGAAAGUCUGACGGAACAACCCCCCGUGAGUGAUGAAGGUUUUCCGAACCUAAAACUCUGUUGGUAGGGAAGAACAAGUACCGUUCCAAUAAGGCGGUACCUUGACGGUACCUAACCAGAAAGCCACGGCUAACUACCUGCCAGCAGCCGCGGUAAUACCUAAGUGGCAAGCGUUGUCCGGAAUUAUUGGGCGUAAAGCGCGCGCAAG